rnacentral:rRNA from 1 species
CAGAGGUCCCAAGCGUUGUUCGGAUUCACUGGGCGUAAAGGGUGCGUAGGCGGUCGGGUAAGUCUGAUGUGAAAUCUCAGAGCUCAACUCUGAAACUGCAUUGGAUACUAUUCGGCUUGAGGUCUGGAGGGGGGACUGGAAUUCUCGGUGUAGCAGUGAAAUGCGUAGAUAUCGAGAGGAACACCAGUGGCGAAGGCGAGUCCCUGGACAGAUCCUGACGCUGAGGCACGAAAGCUAGGGGAGCAAACAGGAUUAGAUACCCUGGUAGUCCUAGCCGUAAACGGUGUGUAUUUGCUGUAAAAGGAAUCGACCCCUUUUGUGGCGUAGCAAACGCGUUAAAUACACCGCCUGGGAAGUACGGUCGCAAGAUUA